AACUCCUCCAGAAACUUAACCUGGAUAAUGGAGGUUUUCAGCGGUGCUUCUGACUGAGCCAAGCCCAGUUUGAUGCACUGUUGUAGGUGUCGACUGGAGGAUUUCCGCCGGGACUCCAACAACAGGUGUACGUCACAAUCACGCCCCAACAAGAGCAAGCUCCUGAUUGGUUAACGUGGCACGAAUGUCCGCUUAAGUUCAGAUUUUUUAACUCGAGCGAUUCGCUCAAAAUGCACAAAGUGCGUCAAACGUUUUCGAGCGUAUGGCGCCGCAGGAUGUCUAUUCACGCGUUUGCAUUGACUUAACAUGUAAAUCACUCGCGCCUGAUGCGCCUUUCGUCUGGUGUGAACACAGCAUAAAGGUGCUCUAGCGACUGACAGUAGAGACCGUGGUCUUUUCUACUUGUUAGAGCAACCGACUCGUAUACAAAGAAUCCCAGCUCAGCCCAGCUUGGGUGCAUUAGGACCGGUGGGUUACAGUAACAUUGUGCCAAUUCUGCCUUUUACAGUGCAUAGGGUCUUAAAAAUGUGAAGUGGAUUUAUAUAUAUUUUACCCGUCAGCUGUUUUUGACUUCAUAGCCAAGAACAGAAGCCACUGAAGGAACCACCACAACAACUUUCACCUCUGAAUCCUGCCCCCAUAAACAACCUCUGUUUCACAUUGAGGCUUGUGGACUGCAAACACUGCAAUCAUCAGACUGGUUUUAGCCCUCUGGGAUCAUAUUUGCUGGCAGUUAAGAAGCGGUGUGUUAUUCUCUAAAUAAACAGCUGUGAGUUUGUCCUGGAGCUGAGAAUAUCACCAUAUUUGAAGAGACAGUCAUGUGAAUAUAUAUCCCAGCACCCUCUGUUUAUUGGCAAAGAGGAGACUAAUAUUUUCCAAUCUAUUAUACAGAGGAGAUUGGGGUUGUCAGAAAGGCUAUUUCAGUUUUUAAGCCAAAGUUAGAAAGUUUGACACUUUCUUUGUGUGUGUGAGUGUUUCAGAAUUGUCACUUUAACUCUGUAACAGGCAUCGCAACAACCUGGUUGACCUUUUGACCUUAGGUUAUUAUUAUUAUUAUUAUUUAAUUGCUUGGAGAGGUGAAAAUGCCCUCUAUUUACCCUUUAAUAGUGCACUAUUUGUGGGAGCAGCCGUUUGUAGUGAUGUCUGAAACCAUUGUGGACAUUUUAAAGUGCGUUCAAUCAAUCCCACAAUGCACUGCAAUAACGAGUGUACAAACAAUGUACACUCAAGGGCUAGAGAAUACCUAUAAUGCACUGCGAGUUUACUCGCUGAAUGAUUUUUUUACACAAGAUGGCAUCCACAUCGCAAUACUCUCAGUGUGUUUCUAAACACUUUAUUUAAGCAAUAUUAUCUAUGACAGAAAUCCAAAUAUUUUCGUUCUUAAUAGACAUAAGAGAUAAAUAGGAUUUGACCAAGAAGUUGACAAUAUGAUUUGUCUGAAGGGGUUUAUUAAACUGCAUAACACAAAAACAGCAUCCCUUCAGUGCUCCAAUUCACUCACUCACUUUUAUUCACCCCUUUAAGUUAUCUUUUUAGAGAUUUCAUUGAUUUCUAGGGAAUUUGUUUUGCAUUCUUUCCCCCAAAAUAUUUACAAACAAUGAUAAAAAUGUAUGACAAGGCAACUGUUGUCAAAGCAAACACCUUUAUCAUUAAACAUGCCGUUGAAAUGCA